UUUUAAGUCCAAUCUGCCCAAUGAUUAAUUAAAUGGCUGCAGUAUUCAUAACUGUACUAAGGUAGCAUAAUAACUUGUUUUCUAAUUAAAAAAUUGAAUAAAAGAUUCCAUGAGAUAUAUUCUUUCUUUAUAUUAUAUAAAUUAAAUUUAUUAUUUAAGUAAAAAAACUUAAAUAAAAUAAAAAGACGAUAAGACCCUAUAAAAUUUUAUUUAUAUAUAAAAAUUUAUUAAUAUUAUUAAUUAAAUAUAAUAUUUUUAUUAUAAAUUUAAUUGGGGUAAUUAAAAAAUUUAAAAAACUUUUUUUUAAAAAACAUAAAUUAAUGAAUAUUUUAAUUUAAAUUUUAAAAAUUAAAAUUAAUUACUUUAGGGAUAACAGCAUAA
rnacentral:rRNA from 1 species